UAAUUUUGGGGUGACUCAAAUUGAGCACCAUUUGGAAUUGGAAUGGACCUCUCAUGGGAAUGAAUUAACUCUGGACAAGAAGGCAGUUUUAUUGUCAGUGAUUCCUGCUGUUUCCCCUGCACCUCCAGCUGAGCUCUCCUAGAGUAAACACGAAUAAUUAUAGUUAUGAACAACAAACAUCUGCAAGCAACUAUGAGAGCAAGCAGUACCACCAGCCAGCGCCAGCCUACUCGGCUCCAGCAUGCUGCCAGGGAUUCAUACUGCCCACCAAGCAAGUGCUGCUGGAAUCCAGCAUCUCUGUCUUGUACUAAUAAAAUUAGAGAGAACAAGCAAUAAGGUUGUGGAAGAGAAGGUGAUGAAACCAGAAGCAGAGCUACAACUAUCUCUGAAAAUAUACCUGGAGGGCUGCUGGAUGUACAACCUGUUUUACAUGACCGUGUAGAAGAGAUUAACAUCUUUCCUCACAAGAUAAAUUGCUAUGUGAAGCUUUUGAUUUCAGACAUACUCAUCAUGAUUUUUAACAUAUUUUCAACGUUGUUUUUUCAACAAUACUUGGUCUAGUUGUUGAACUUACUCCAUGCUGUUUUAUUUUGUGCAUAAUUACCUUACUCUGAUUUUUCAAAUACAUAUUUAUGGGCUUACGUGCAAGGUUUUGUAUGAGUCGGACUUUUUUUCUGUGGGUAAAUAUUGUUUUCAAUGCUGUGCCAGGUGAUGAAACAUUUAGAUUGUUUCCAUUGUUAUUAUUUCAUGAAUUCCUGAAAAUGUUACUUUGCUUUUAGUUAUGAAAUUGCACAUUAAGAUUUGAAAUCUAAAUUAAAUCUUCAGGUAUAGCAUUUCCAGUGAGAUCAGUUUUUGUUCUUCCCAUUCUCACUAUAAGCAAAAGCAGAUAAAAAAAAGGCAAGUCUAAGAAUUAUUUAUGUCUGAAAAAAGCCCGUGAUGACACAGGCAGGUGAUUGACUGAAUACCAGGGAGUAGGUGGGUGCUGCAGGAAGUGGUAAUGAUCUUCAAGGGAACAUACUUGCGUGCGCUAUGGACUCAAAAAAAAAAAAACUGCUAUAAGAAAUUCUUUGCUAGAAGAUGAUUGCUAUUUCUUAUGAGCUUUAAAAUGAAGUCGUAUCCAUUAUGAUGACAAACACUGUCUUGUCGCUGUAUGUGAAUGAAUCAUGUUCUAGUUAAAUUUCUAUGUGGGGUUUUCAGUUGCGUCUUUCUAGAGCCCUUUGCAGCAUAAAUGAAUGUUGCAUUUCCUUCCUGUCUUAAAUAGCAUUGUAAUGUUGCUGUGAGCUUUUAAAAUAGCUGUUGUACAUUACUCAAUGGAUUGGCAAAAUUUUAAUAAGGAAUAAGUAUGUGCAUCUUGUGAAAAUACAUUCUGGUGAGAAAUUCGU